GUACGCUGGAACGCUGGAAAUCGCGCGCGGCAAUUCUAAGUAUUUUACUGAUUUUGUUCUGUGAAAGACUAGCGUAUUAUGCCAUCACUGUGAACCUUGUGGCAUUCUGUAAUGAUUAUAUCGAAGAGGACAGCGGACUGACAGUUGCCUUGCUUUUUCAAGGAACUGCGUUUUUCUUGCCCUUGGUCCCGGGAAUUAUUGCAGAUACCCUCCUGGGCAAGAAGAAGUUGCUUACAAUAUGUCUCCCUGUGUAUAUACUUGGUGGAAUAUUUCUGACGAUUGCCGGGGACAUACAUCAGGAACAGAACACCCGGGUCGGUUUGUAUUACACGGGUCUAUCUCUGUGUGCUGUUGGCGCAGCCUGUGUUAAUUCUGUGAUUACUCCCUAUGGAGCGGACCAGAUUGACACGAAAUCUGCACAAAGAUCUUUC